rnacentral:tRNA from 1 species
UCCCCGGUAGCUCAGUUGGUAGAGCAAUCGGCUGUUAACCGAUUGGUCGCAGGUUCGAGUCCUGCCCGGGGAGCCA